rnacentral:rRNA from 1 species
CCCUUAGAUGUCCUGGGCCGCACGCGUGCUACACUGAUGCAUACAGCGAGUACUUUCCAGCUCCGCGAGGCAGCUGGUAAUCAGCAAUAUGCAUCGUGCUGGGGAUAGAUCUUUGGAAUUAUAGACCUUGAACGAGGAAUUCCUAGUAAGCGCAAGUCAUUAGCUUGCGCUGAUUAAGUCCCUGCCCUUUGUACACACCGCCCGUCGCUCCUACCGAUUUCGAGUGAUUCGGUGAACCUUUUGGACAGCGUCUGUCCUCGUGUCAGAUGCUGAAAGUCAAGUAAACCAUAUCACUUAGAGGAAGGAGAAGUCGUAACA